rnacentral:rRNA from 1 species
AACGAACGCUGGCGGCAUGCCUAAUACAUGCAAGUCGAACGACAACUUCGGUGGUAGUGGCGCACGGGUGCGUAACGCGGGGGAAACUGCCCUGGGGUUCGGAAUGACGUCGGGAAACUGACGGUAAUACCGGAUGAAGACGUAAGUCCAAAGAUUUAUCGCCCAGGGAUGAGCCCGCGUAGGAUUAGGUAGUUGGUGGGGUAAAGGCCUACCAAGGCGACGAUCCUUAGCUGGUCUGAGAGGAUGAGCAGCCACACUGGGACUGAGACACGGCCCAGACUCCUACGGGAGGCAGCAGUAGGGAAUAUUGGACAAUGGGGGCAACCCUGAUCCAGCAAUGCCGCGUGAGUGAUGAAGGCCUUAGGGUUGUAAAGCUCUUUUACCCGGGAUGAUAAUGACAGUACCGGGAGAAUAAGCCCCGGCUAACUCCGUGCCAGCAGCCGCUGUAA